AUGGUUAAUGUGACUACGAAUAAUGAGAAUUCUAACAUAGAAUACUCCCAAGCAACAUUCAGCUUUGAUUUUCCAUCUAUGCUGGAAAAUGCUAGUCAUCUCAAAUAUACCACGCUUGAAUUCCAUUUAAUUUGCAGUGUGCCUAACAUAUUACCUGAUAUUUUACCAUUAGCGGGUUUCUCUCUUGGCUAAAGGACUGUAGAGAAAGGAACAGCUACAUCUGCCUAGAGAAAUCCAUACAGAAGAGGGAAAUGCUUGUGCUGAGGCUUGAAAGAGGAGGAAACACUGGCUCCAUGAAGCCUUCAUCGACCCUCAAGGAUUGCUCCUUCCUGUCCUUUAUUUCCAUUGAUAAGAAAAAGCUGUCUGUAACUGAUUUCCAGGCCGAAGUACAAGAACAGCUUCCCACUGUCGCUAGUCUCUGGGUGCCUCAACAUCCCUUGUUUGUUUCUUUAACCUGCUUGUAACCUGUAGGCGCGGAGUUUAUUACCUGUUUUCUUGUGAGAAGACAAACUCAGAGUGGAAGAGAACUUGUCCCAGGUCACCCUUGGUGGAGGUGAGCUCAGAUCAGCCUGACCUCACAACCCAACAAGAAGCAGUGCAAGCAGGAAAUGUGUACAUUCUAUAGUCCAUUCAUCCAAGUUGACAAGAAGAAACCUCAGGCAUGAAGACAGAACAAGCAUUUCUCAACAAUACAAAGUGAUAAAGCGUCAAAAUGAGCUUCAUAUGCGUCUCUUGAGUCCUUCAUUCCAGCACCUUCUCCCAUCCCCACUCUGGAACCUUUUCCUGGAUCCUCCUCCCAGCUGGGUCUUGGUCAACUAGACAGAGGUUUGAGUUAAGGAUAGACAGAAAAGAGUGGAGGGCACUAUCGAGUUGUGGGA